GAGUUUGAUCAUGGCUCAGAUUGAACGCUGGCGGCAGGCCUAACACAUGCAAGUCGAACGGUAACAGGAAGCAGCUUGCUGCUUCGCUGACGAGUGGCGGACGGGUGAGUAAUGUCUGGGAAACUGCCUGAUGGAGGGGGAUAACUACUGGAAACGGUAGCUAAUACCGCAUAACGUCGCAAGACCAAAGAGGGGGACCUUCGGGCCUCUUGCCAUCGGAUGUGCCCAGAUGGGAUUAGCUUGUUGGUGGGGUAACGGCUCACCAAGGCGACGAUCCCUAGCUGGUCUGAGAGGAUGACCAGCCACACUGGAACUGAGACACGGUCCAGACUCCUACGGGAGGCAGCAGUGGGGAAUAUUGCACAAUGGGCGCAAGCCUGAUGCAGCCAUGCCGCGUGUAUGAAGAAGGCCUUCGGGUUGUAAAGUACUUUCAGCGGGGAGGAAGGGAGUAAAGUUAAUACCUUUGCUCAUUGACGUUACCCGCAGAAGAAGCACCGGCUAACUCCGUGCCAGCAGCCGCGGUAAUACGGAGGGUGCAAGCGUUAAUCGGAAUUACUGGGCGUAAAGCGCACGCAGGCGGUUUGUUAAGUCAGAUGUGAAAUCCCCGGGCUCAACCUGGGAACUGCAUCUGAUACUGGCAAGCUUGAGUCUCGUAGAGGGGGGUAGAAUUCCAGGUGUAGCGGUGAAAUGCGUAGAGAUCUGGAGGAAUACCGGUGGCGAAGGCGGCCCCCUGGACGAAGACUGACGCUCAGGUGCGAAAGCGUGGGGAGCAAACAGGAUUAGAUACCCUGGUAGUCCACGCCGUAAACGAUGUCGACUUGGAGGUUGUGCCCUUGAGGCGUGGCUUCCGGAGCUAACGCGUUAAGUCGACCGCCUGGGGAGUACGGCCGCAAGGUUAAAACUCAAAUGAAUUGACGGGGGCCCGCACAAGCGGUGGAGCAUGUGGUUUAAUUCGAUGCAACGCGAAGAACCUUACCUGGUCUUGACAUCCACGGAAGUUUUCAGAGAUGAGAAUGUGCCUUCGGGAACCGUGAGACAGGUGCUGCAUGGCUGUCGUCAGCUCGUGUUGUGAAAUGUUGGGUUAAGUCCCGCAACGAGCGCAACCCUUAUCCUUUGUUGCCAGCGGUCCGGCCGGGAACUCAAAGGAGACUGCCAGUGAUAAACUGGAGGAAGGUGGGGAUGACGUCAAGUCAUCAUGGCCCUUACGACCAGGGCUACACACGUGCUACAAUGGCGCAUACAAAGAGAAGCGACCUCGCGAGAGCAAGCGGACCUCAUAAAGUGCGUCGUAGUCCGGAUUGGAGUCUGCAACUCGACUCCAUGAAGUCGGAAUCGCUAGUAAUCGUGGAUCAGAAUGCCACGGUGAAUACGUUCCCGGGCCUUGUACACACCGCCCGUCACACCAUGGGAGUGGGUUGCAAAAGAAGUAGGUAGCUUAACCUUCGGGAGGGCGCUUACCACUUUGUGAUUCAUGACUGGGGUGAAGUCGUAACAAGGUAACCGUAGGGGAACCUGCGGUUGGAUCACC
rnacentral:rRNA from 4 species